ACCUGCAGUAGAUUCGAGUUAUAAAACUUUUGCAGACAACCAGUAUCAGUAUUAUGACCAGUAUAGAAAACUGAAAGAAGAGGUGAUUCAACCCGGCAAUGACUCAACGGAUAUAAGAACAACAGUUUCUAUCACAGGAAAAGGUUCUUGUGAAAUUUGAAUACAAUGCCUCAAAGUUUGCCUCUUCCUAAUUAGGUUCAAUAUUAUCUAUCUAUCAAUCCAAUCAUUUGAGAUUUGAUACGGCAAACUUCAUUCUGACUAAAAUUUGGUUGAGGACAUUUUCAUGUUUCAUGAAUAUAAUUUUGUUAUAAUUAUCAAUCACUUUCGGAAUCAAAUAUUGCAAUCGAAUGUUUUCCGAACAUUUUAAAGAUCAAUAGGUAGUUACAAUAGGUACAUUUUUUUUAAAUGAUUUCUUUGCCAUUUGAACUGAAUACCUGAAAAAAGUAUCAUUAUUGUAAAUUUUGUAUGUGAUCAUAAAAUCAUGAAUCAUAAAAAUGAACAUACCAUUUCAAGGAGUAUUGAAGUAUCAGUAGCUAUACAUUUAUCUGUUCAAUGGGACCGCAAAAUGUAUAUGAAAUAUUCAUAGAGUUAUAAACGCUAGGUAAUGCAUAAUGAUCAAAUAAUUUGAAAUUAUGGGUAACCUGCAAAUUUUCAAUGUAAAGUUCCUCGACUUCAAUUAUACGGAAAUAUAUUCGAAUAUUAACAACAAUUUUCAGAAGAAACGAAAAAUUUUGGGCCCGCUCUAACAGCAGAUGCAUAGGAGUCAGUUUAAUUUUUCAUUAAAAAAAAUUUAUUAACAUGUAGGUAGUAAAGUCGAUGCGCUAAAUAUGAAUUUGUUGGAAUUUUAGUCUCAUUUUGCUUUCCAAUAUGAUACAUCUAUUAAAUAUCUAUUAAAUCAACACAAUUAUUUAUUCCAGUGCAGCAGCUGUAAUAUAAUGAAAUAUACGAGAGAGUUUUGAUUAGAAGUGUGUGUCACAUGGAACUUCCUUUAGAAGCUUCAGGUGAUAUUAUUUCGUAUAAAAGUUUGGCAUUCUGAAACUAUCCAGCAGCAUGUAUGAUAUCGGGUAACGAUGUUAUCAAUUUUAAUCUUAUGUUUUUUAAUGAAUAUCAUAUAUAUUGCUCUCCUUAUUCGCAUUCGGUCAGAAAAUUAUUCAAAAUUGAAUUAAUAUACACCACCACCAAGUGGUUCAAGAGUUAUGCCACAAUAUUGAAGCUGAGCUAUUCAACUAUUCAUAUUGUAAACGUAUGUCUGUCUGACUUUAAUAUGACUAUAUUUUUUCAUACGUCGACAUUAAAGCAUGACAUAAUUGAACCGAAUGAAUUAGGCGAUAAUUAAGAAUAUAACAUAUAUUUUCAAUGAAACCUCAGUUCGAAACUUUUUCUUAUUAUGAAGAUAUAGGUUUUUUCGUAUCGAAUAAUAAUCUGGCCAAAGUCUUUUCUGUAAUAUUGAAUGAAUCGAAAUUCGAAAACCAAUGUAGAAAUGACACAUAUUGUAUUAAAUAUGUGCUUUCUUCUUGAAGAAAAUGAAUAGGUAAAUACUCAGUGGUUCGAUAAUUCUACCAUAAUCAAAACAAUUUUAUCAAAAUAGUUUUCCUGGUAAUGUUUUCUUCAUAUAAUACUUCGAAGAAAAUGUGAAUGUUAUUGUAAUUCAAUAAACUAGCUAACUUACCUUGAAAUUUUGACUGACUGACUAAUAAGUAAAUCAUUUUCUAUAAAGAUUCAAACUCUUCUUUCAUAACACUUUCCACGUUAUAUAGAAAUAUUUUCCAGGGUUACUCAUCUGUAGAUUUGACAUCCAAAAAGUUCAGUUCAAGUUUUCAUUGAGAAGUUCAAUUUUUAAAAUAGUUUAUUUCAGAAAUUCAGUUUGCAAUCUGGAAUAAAACCUCGUCAAUUGAGAUUCGAUGCGAAAACGC